rnacentral:lncRNA from 1 species
GCAGAUGGUUAGAACUAGGGAUGUCAACGAAUCGGAUUCGGGACGAGUUUUGAAAAAAUCCCAACCCAAACCCAACUAUCAAACCCUAAACUUGAACCCGAACCCAAGUUCGACAGAAUUUGAAAAUCCAUAUCCAAACCCGAACCUGACCAAAAACACGAAAUCCAAUUCCAAAUGCGAAAACCCGAACUUGAAAACAAUCUUUACCAAAGUUCGAAACAUAUUACACUAAAUUUGAGAUUGUGCAGAUGGUCAGAACUAGGGAUGUCAACGAAUCGGAUUCGGAAUGGGUUUUGAAAAAAUCCGAACCCAAACCCAACUAUCAAACCCUAAACCUGAACCCGAACCCAAGUUCGACAGAUUUUGAAAAUCCAUAUCCAAACCCGAACCUGACCAAAAACACGAAAUCCAAUUCCAAAUGCGAAAACCCGAACCUAAAAACAAUCUUUACCAAAGUUCGAAACAUAUUACACUAAAAUCUAAAUUUUUGAAAUACAUAUUCAAAUACAAUAUUAAAACAUUCAUGCCAUAACGAUAUCCAAAUAU